rnacentral:rRNA from 1 species
GACGAACGCUGGCGGCGUGCUUAACACAUGCAAGUCGAACGGAAAGGCCCUGCUUUUGUGGGGUGCUCGAGUGGCGAACGGGUGAGUAACACGUGAGUAACCUGCCCUUGACUUUGGGAUAACUUCAGGAAACUGGGGCUAAUACCGGAUAGGAGCUCCUGCUGCAUGGUGGGGGUUGGAAAGUUUUGGCGGGUGGGGAUGGACUCGCGGGUUAUCAGCUUGUUGGUGGGGUAGUGGCUUACCAAGGCUUUGAAGGGUAGCCGGCCUGGGUGGGGGACCGGCCACAUUGGGACUGAGAAACGGCCCAGACUCCUACGGGAGGCAGCAGUGGGGAAUAUUGCACAAUGGGCAGAAGCCUGAUGCAGCAACGCCGCGGGCGGGAUGACGGCCUUCGGGUUGUAAACCGCUUUCGCCUGUGACGAAGCGUGAGUGACGGUAAUGGGUAAAGAAGCACCGGCUAACUACGUG